UCUUGUAUUUUUGUAGACAGUUACAGCUUCACGAGGAUAACCACAUUACAGAAGUAAACUUGAAAAUUUUUAUCUCACUGCUAAAAAAGAGGACCAAAGUUGAUAAAAUAAUCACUGAUACGUAGAAAAAUGCAAGCCAACGUGUCACAACCAACAACUUUAAAAAAGCCCUUACAGAGAAAAGGAGAAGGAAACUUUCUUUGUUGUAACAAAAUAUUUUGAAAUGAACUGGACUUCCAAAUA